rnacentral:rRNA from 1 species
GACGAACGCUGGCGGCGUGCUUAACACAUGCAAGUCGAACGGGCCCGCUCUCUUUUUUGGGGGUGGGUUGAGUGGCGAACGGGUGAGUAUCACGUGAGUAACCUGCCCCCUGCUCCUGGAUAACUGCUUGAAAGGGCGGCUAAUACGGGGUGUGCCGGCUGGUCCGCAUGGGCCUGGUCGGGAUAGUUUCAUCUUCGGGUGUUUCGGUGGGGGAUGGGCUCGCGGCCUAUCAGCUUGUUGGUGGGGCGAUGGCCCACCAAGGCGGUGACGGGUAGCCGGCCUGAGAGGGUGGGCGGCCACACUGGGACUGAGACACGGACCAGACUCCUGCGGGAGGCAGCAGUGGGGGGUAUUGCACAAUGGGCGGAAGCCUGAGGCAGCGACGUCGCGUGAGGGAUGGAGGCCGUCGGGUUGUGAACCUCUUUCUCCGGUGGUGAAGGCCCUGUCCGUUGCGGCGGGGUUGACGGUAGCCGGGUAUGAAGCGCCGGCUAACUACGUG